rnacentral:lncRNA from 1 species
UCUAUAGCUAACACCGUUCUAGAAGUAUAGUCACUUUAAAUUUUUUAAACUCCACAAAUAUCUUUUUAUCUCUUUUAUAUAGUACUGGGAGUUGAACUAGGGCCUCAUGUGCUCGGCAUGUGCCCUGGCACCCCAGCAUCCCCAGCUCUUCCGUGUCUUUUUCUUUUUUUUUUAAUCUUUAUGACAUGAUGAUUUUCUAGUCUGACAGUUUUAAUUUUAACAUUUAGAGCAAAAAAAAAAAAAAACCUGUUUAAUUACUUGUGCAUGUUUAAAAUUGCAACCCAUGCCUCAGGAAUUCCAUAAAGUUUAUUUUACUUGAAUAGAAGUCAUCUUAAAAGUGAUUAAAAGAAGCCCUUAGGCCAUUGUCACACAGCCCCUCUGGGUCAGUCUGUGGCUUAUUGACUUUCUCCACAGGCAGUUUGCCUGUUAGAAUCCCCAAAGCUGGCAUUUUGGGGCCUUUCCCUUGCCCCCUGCUCUCACCUGGCUUCUCUUCUCUUGAGAUUCAUGGAGGCAGCCUGUGGAUCUCAGAAUUCAGUGGGCGCUCUCUAGCUCUGAAUCCCUGUGCUGCAAAUCAAAGGCUCACCUGUGCUGGUGACCUCGAGGAACGCUAACAGACAGUCGAGGUGAAUACAAGCCUGAACUGACUAAAAUGCUCACCGUGAAAUAUUUCAGGAAAUGUCUUUAAGCCAAAAGUAGAGUGCAGUAUAAGUAAGGGGCAGGAGUAAUGUCUAGAAAUGUAGACAGCAGAGGAAGAGUUUAUGUAAUAUUUAUACUAUAGAGCAAUAACAUCCUCCAUGUUUGUUACAUGUAACUACUUGUAACCAGAUGUUUACAUGCAAGAUUUAUAGGAAAAUGCUGCCCAUUCUUCCCUGAGGUGUUAAGGGCAGAGCUCCCUUGCUCGUAGCCUACCCAGUGCUUUCCUGUUGAGUCACCUCAGAGGAUCUUUACCAAAGAUUUUUUUAAAGUAAAUUUCUUUUUAAUAUAGACUUAUACUUUUAUAAUAAUGAAUGUGCACAUACUCAUAUACAGAAAUAUUUAGGAUUAGAUCUUUUUCUUUCACAAGGUCUCAUGCAAUAAAGUAUCCACCACAUUAUUCUCCAAUUACUUUAAUAUAUAAUUUACAUUGCUUUCUCGUUUUCUUCUACUAAGCAUUUGACUUAAGCAAUACUAAAUACUCUGCUCUUUGCUCUUUUAUCUACAUAAAGAUUUGCCUACUGUAGAGAUAUAAAGAUCUGUUACCUUAAUGAUUAUAUGCAUUGCCUUUUGAUAUAUUGCCUUACUUAUCAUUUAAAUACAUAAAUAGAAAGAUAUAAUGUCUGUAACAGAAAACUUAUAAAGUUAUACCUGAAUUGUUUAAAUAUCAAGAGCACAAACAUUUGGUUAUUCUGUAUAAAAUGAAACAUAU